rnacentral:lncRNA from 1 species
GGUUUUUUGGUUUUCUUCAUUGCAAUCUUCCUAAAUUGCACAUUUCAUAAGACCGUCAGGAAAAAGUCAGGAAAUGAGGUUUCCAGGAAGAGGGAGGCGGAGAAUACAGGGCCGGGUGGGAAGCCGGAGAAUAGGAGAGCAGUCUUUCAUUAUCACGACCUGUUCCACGCACACCCUCUCCCGGUGCCAUCCUCGCGCUGGAUGCGAGCCAUCCUCUGGGCUAAUGAGCUAGGCGCGGGAGAUAACUAAUCCUAAUGCAAUUACCGCUCGGUGCAGCACUGAUAGGUCCACUGUGCUCCCCGCGUGCCCAGCAGCCUGAGCCAGGCUGGAGCAGCUGGGCCUCAGCCUCCUGUCGGAGACGUUUUGACAGCUGUAUACAGUCCCGGGCCCCCUCCCACGGCCCGCGUCCCGGGAGAGUGAUCUUUUCACAGCGAGUCCCCAUGAAGCCUGUCGGAGCUGAACACGGCAUCCAUGUCUACAUCCUCUGGACGUUGGGAAAGUAGAAGAACUCACAACCAUUUCUUGGACUCCACCAGUACCACGGGUGAGGAGAGCAGUGAGACUUUGGGGUCUUCUGCCUUGUUGAUAGUUCCUUAUAGGCAACCUUCUUGGUGAUUAAAGACAGUAGUGAAAUCAUUAAGAGCUGCUUUCUUAUCCCUGUGGAGGAGUCUGUGGAUCCAACAGUGCCUCUUGGUUCCUGUCCAUCCACACUGGCAGAGAAGAAUCCCUCGGGCAAUUCCACAGCAUUCUCUCUUUUUAAAAGCUUUUAUUGCAUUUUUACUUACACACGUAGUGUGUGUGUGAGAGAGGGGGGGGGUAUUGGGAAAGCACCCACAUGUGUGUACUUGUGCACCUUGACCCACUCAGAACAAUUUGCAGGAGUUAGUUUUCUCCUCCCAUUAAGUAGGUCACAGGGAGUGAAUCCAGGUCAAGGUUGGCAGUAGGCACAUUACCCCUGAGGUAUCCCAUAAGCCCUCCAUGGUCCUGUAACCAUUGGUACAACUGCCACCCAGAAAAAUCACCCAUACCACUUGUCUAAUGGAAAGUUCCAUACGGGCAGGAUUCUGGCAAUAGAUCUUUGACAACAUCAGUCAUCUAAAAGCUAUGAAUCAGACAUAACAGGUUCCUCAUUUUACAAUUUAAGCUGAAGAGUUGAGAAAUAGAGAUGGUGGGGUAUACAACCCUGUGAAUGGACAAAAUAUCACUGUAUAACUUAUUGUUAAACUUUGCCACCAUGAGAACAAAAUUAACCAUGAAUCUAUUCAUCUAAUGUAUUGUUCACUGUGCAUCGAUUUGGCCACUGUUUACUCUACUUUAGACUUGAAAGAAUACCCAGACUGUAUAAACACAUCCACAGUGGAUGAGGUCUGAACUGUUCAGCUUGGAACCAGGCUCUGUGCACGA